GGCCUCUUGGCAUUUACUCUGAGCUUUUUCUUCAUAUCAAUUGUAUAGAAAGAGGAGAUCAAGUAUUCAAGUAAGCAUGUCCCAUAUAUACCUUAAUUUAGGCCUGAUGUCUAGUUUAUAUUGUGAAUAGGGGAACAUGA
rnacentral:snoRNA from 1 species